CAAGGGUCAGGUUUGUACCAUUGACCAGUUUCACACCUUGGUCACAGAUAACUGGAUCAGGGAUGGACAUUGGACCUAAACUCAGUCAAUCCAGUUCUUCUUCCAGAAACACAGUAUUGGACACAGGAAAACAGAACAGGACUUUUCAGCGACAAGGCCAAGUUGGUAAAGUAAAAGAAUACACAGCCAUGCGUGACAGAGACCGGGCAGCCCUGCCCUUGGCCCAACCAUCUACUCUCUAUACCUGUGCCCACACAGAUCCUGAGCUAAGAAUGCCUGCUGUAUCUGAAAGCCCUUGGUAAAUUCCAUGGAAGAAGAUCGACAAUGAGAAUCAUUGAUCUUAGGUUGCCUCAAACCCUCCUCUCCUCACGGUGGCCAGAAGAAGCCAGCUUUAC
rnacentral:lncRNA from 1 species